rnacentral:rRNA from 1 species
CAGCAGCACGGUAAAACAGAGGGUGCGAGCGUUAAUCGGAUUUACUGGGCGUAAAGCGUGCGUAGGCGGCUUUUUAAGUCGGAUGUGAAAUCCCUGAGCUUAACUUAGGAAUUGCAUUCGAUACUGGGAAGCUAGAGUAUGGGAGAGGAUGGUAGAAUUCCAGGUGUAGCGGUGAAAUGCGUAGAGAUCUGGAGGAAUACCGAUGGCGAAGGCAGCCAUCUGGCCUAAUACUGACGCUGAGGUACGAAAGCAUGGGGAGCAAACAGGAUUAGAUACCCGAGUAGUCCCUGUCUCUUAUACA